GGCAGCCUAUCCAUUAGCGCGUUUCGUCACCGUGACCAAACGUUAGGUGAGGUUGCUCGAUUCGCGGCGGCGGGGGCUCAACUCGCGGCUGCGGCGGCUCGAGGUUGCUCGACUACCGGCGGCAGCGGCGGCGGGUCGAUUCGCGGCGGCUGCGUCUCGAUUCACGGCGACGGGGGCUCGACUCACAUCAGCGGCGGCAGCUCGACUCGUGGCGGCGGCGGCGGCACGAUUUGCGGUGAUGGCGGCGGAUCGUCUCGCGGCGGUUUGAUUGGCGGGGACAGUGGGUCCAUUCGCGCCGGCUCAGCAGCGCACGCCGAGCCGCGGGGGAGAAGCGGCGCCCGUGGCAUAGCAAGUGUCCGGGGCGGAGGAGCUGCUGCGGCGGUGACUCGCAUCAAUCCAUGGAAAUCCCCAAAUGCCUGAGAGAACACAAGCAAGAACCCCUUUUAGCUUGCUCUCUGCAGCCCGGGGCAAGGCGAUGAUGAAUCUCUGUGACAAGGGAGAGGACAUGCCGCUGCAAUGGGGUGACUUUUGUUUCCAGAGAGAGAUCAUUGUAGUUUCAUUGUUCCGGAUACAAGAAUUUUGUUGCUCAAAAUGGUAUUGACGUUGA